rnacentral:lncRNA from 1 species
CUGGUGUGCACGAGGGGAAUAGGGGUGAUCUCAGGACAUGAAGGUUUUCUGUGUAGCAUUUAGUGAGUUCGAGGUGUAUACCCCUGUGUAACCAACACCCCAGUCAAGGUAGAGACCUUUUCUCGAACAGGUAUUUGCACACCCAUGUUCAUAGUAGCAUCAUUCACAACAGCUAAGAGAAGGAGACAACACAAAAUGUCCUUGGAUAGAUGAAUAGAUAAACAGUGUGGCACAUCCACACAAUGGAAUAUUCACCCUUACAGAUGAAGGAAAUGCACACACAUGCUACAACACGGAUGAACCUUGAAGACGCUAGGCUCAGUGGUAUCAGCCAGACAGAAAAGAACACAGAACGUGUGGUUGUCCUUACAUUCGACACAUAGGAUUGUCAGAUUCAUGGAGACACACAGUAGAAUAGUGGUUGCCAGGGGCUGCUGGAGAAGGAAGCAGGAAGCUAGGGUAUAAUGAGGACAGCAUUUCAGAUCAGGAAGAUGAAAAAGUGCUGGAGACAGAUGGUGCCAUGUUUGAACUGCAGCUAACUGGAAUCCCACCGUAUACUGUCCUGAGUCAGGUUCCCUCGUCCAACAGAAUGCUUUGAGAUUCAGCCUUGUUGUCUGUUUCAAAAGUCCAAACAUUUUUGAUGGCUGAUUAAUAUUCCAUUUUAAGAGCAUGCCACAGUUUCUUCAUUCAUUCUUUUGUUGAUGGACGUUGAGUUGUUUCCGGCUCUUGGCUUUUAUAAAUCAAGUUGCUGUAGACAUUCUUUCUCAGGCCUCUUUGUGGACAGGCAUUUUGUCUCCCAGGUGCAUGCAUGGGAGGCGAUGGCUGGGCAGCUGUACAUCCACCUUUAGAGACACUAUCGGGUUUCCAAAGCGGCUGCACCAUUUUACACACCCACCAGCCAGGUGAACUGGACAUCUCUUCUGCUGGUUCCAUCUGGGUUCACCCAUGGGUGGGCCCCACUCUGCAAGAGGGUCCAUAGGGCUGGACCGUCCAGGUUACUGCUGGCAAUGGUCCUGCUGGUGGCUCUGUCCCUGCUUCAUUCAGGUUGCUCUUCUCCAGCCUCCCAUGGUCCCCUCCUCACGGCUCUCCCAGUGCUUCCUCAGCACCUUUCCAGCUUCCACCUGAUGCCUGCUUUGAAAACCAGGUCAAAGUUUCAGGUCUUGGAAGAAACCAUCACACCGAGGUCAUUUCUGAGCACAGCGUGGAAGCUCCUAUGUUUGCAGGAACUAAGUACUGCAACAUUCAAGAACCAUAAGCAUCAAGCCCCAUGCAAUUUACAAGGUGAACCUACCUGAAUCCUGAUCUGAAGUUCCAGCAGGCUCCCUCUGACCUCCUCCUAGUCACUAUCUCCCUGCUUGGAUUGAUUCCUUGGAGUGGAAUUAGUAAAAAGGAUAUGAAUAUUUUUAGUCUCUUGAUAUGUUAGACUGAUUUCCAGAAGGCUUGUACCAAUUUACUCUUCUACCGACAACUGUAAGAAUACCCUUCCUCCAUCAACAGCAUUGUGUAUUAGCUUUUAAGAAAAAUCUUUUCUAAUUUAAUAGGUUAAAAAAAUUCAUCUCAUUAUUUUAAUUUGAUAUGUAUUUUUAAAUGAGGUUGAAUAUAAUUUCCCAAGCUUAUUGAUCACUUUUAUUGUUCCCUUGUGAAUGGACUGUAAAUUUGCCUCUUUUUUCUUUAGGGUGUUCAUUGAGUGUUAUUGAUUUGCAAAAGC